rfam:Salmo salar isolate Sally breed double haploid chromosome ssa01, whole genome shotgun sequence.
UGAAUGCACUAACUGUAAGUUGCUCUGGAUCAGAGCAUCUGCUAAAUGACUAAAA